AUUUCCUAGGGUUUUCUUCCAUCUUCAACCUAGAGUACACGCAGAACAGCUGUGAACGGCGACACCACCACCAACCAGUCAUGGCUACUCAGAUGAGCAAAAAGCGAAAGUUUGUGGCUGAUGGAGUGUUCUUCGCGGAGCUUAACGAAGUUCUUACCAGAGAGCUUGCAGAGGAUGGAUACUCCGGAGUGGAGGUUAGGGUUACACCUAUGCGUACUGAGAUUAUCAUUCGGGCUACUCGCACACAGAAUGUUCUUGGUGAGAAAGGAAGGAGAAUUAGAGAAUUGACAUCUGUUGUUCAGAAGCGUUUCAAGUUUCCUGAAAACAGUGUUGAGCUUUAUGCUGAAAAGGUCAACAACAGAGGACUCUGUGCCAUUGCUCAAGCUGAGUCUCUUCGUUACAAGCUUCUAGGAGGCCUUGCUGUGAGAAGGGCUUGCUAUGGUGUCCUUAGAUUUGUCAUGGAGAGUGGAGCUAAAGGAUGUGAGGUUAUUGUUAGUGGUAAGCUGAGGGCUCAGCGUGCAAAAUCCAUGAAAUUCAAGGAUGGUUACAUGAUAUCGUCUGGACAGCCAGUGAAAGAGUACAUAGACUCUGCCGUG
rnacentral:misc_RNA from 1 species